UCGUAAACGGGGGGAGGCUACGUGCCCCGCUCCUUACCUUGCCUACUGCACUAUCUGUUGCUUCCUGGCGGCGGACUGCCUGCCGCCAGGGACAUUUUUAAUAUUAAAGCCCUUGUAUCAGCAUUGAAACUCUGAAGCAAACCAAAUCGUA
rnacentral:misc_RNA from 1 species